CCUUGGGGGGAGAACACAUGCAGCUGGCCAACAGUCAGUGUACGACAUAUACGACAUGUACGAUAUGAUAAAAGUGCGUCCCUCAACGGGCCGGUUGUUGGUGUCUUAUCCUACAUCAGCUGGUGCGCUAUUUCCUGCAUGUGUUGUGGUGUGGUGUUGUUACAUGUUCUCACUUGCCAAGUGGCUAGUUUCCAACACUCAGCACCAACACUCAGCACCCCUAGCGGGGAGUAAUACCCGGACGCCAAGGAAACGGCCUUUCCUCAUUUCAACUUUUCAAUUUGCUGCUUGACUGCCUUAACUUCGAUAGUGAGCCGCAUCACAGGCGUUCAUGUAUGACGUGUUUGUAUGUAUGUCUUGCCGUGUAUGGCCUGUGUAAGGGUGACGUAGGGGAUGGACGCGAACAGGCUGCUGCAUUGACUCGGGCAUGCUAUGGUGAGAUUUGGAGACGAUGGUGGUGACUUGUGCGAGUUGAGUGUCAACUCCAUCAGCACUGUAGUACAGCGAUCUGUUGCUGCACCAGGUGGGCGGGCUUGUUUCGCAUGUAAUCG
rnacentral:lncRNA from 1 species